rnacentral:rRNA from 1 species
GAGGAAUAUUGGUCAAUGGGCGGGAGCCUGAACCAGCCAAGUCGCGUGAAGGAAGAAGGAUCUAUGGUUCGUAAACUUCUUUUGCAGGGGAAUAAAGUGCAGGACGUGUCCUGUUUUGUAUGUACCCUGAGAAUAAGGAUCGGCUAACUCCGUGCCGGCAGCCGCGGUAAUACGGAGGAUCCGAGCGUUAUCCGGAUUUAUUGGGUUUAAAGGGUGCGUAGGUGGUUUGAUAAGUCAGCGGUGAAAGUUUGCAGCUUAACUGUAAAAAUGCCGUUGAAACUGUCGGACUUGAGUGUAAAUGAGGUAGGCGGAAUGCGUGGUGUAGCGGUGAAAUGCAUAGAUAUCACGCAGAACUCCGAUUGCGAAGGCAGCUUACUAAGCUACAACUGACACUGAAGCACGAAAGCGUGGGGAUCAAACA